rfam:Phialocephala subalpina strain TAMH 11012 genome assembly, contig: PAC_scaffold_019
GGGAGUGAUGAUCCAUCGACAAAUCUAGGAAUCCUCGAACUGAAGUUAUCAUGUAGAUUCUGUCACAAAAGUUUCAGCCUUGUCUGACC